GGACGGUUUAAAGAUCGUUUUUUGGGGCAUUUAAUUGACGGGACAGGUGCAGACUGGAAAGGGGAAAGAGAGAGGGAGAAGACAAGCAGUAGAAUGCCUCAGGCAGAAUGUAAACCCUGAGCGGCUGCAGUGAGGACUGGGGCCUCGGUACAUCAGGCGCACACUCUGCCAGCUCAAACAACAAAAGUAUGAAUUUGGAUGUGGCUGAGCCAGUCACAGUUAAAGAGCAAGCUUCAAGAGGGGCAUCAUUGGAUAUCACUGUAAUCUGACCAUGGGAAGCUUACAACCAUGUGCAUGCAACCAGGCUGCAUGCACUGGUUCAGUAUGGUGUCAUCCUAGUCUCUUCACAGAAAAACAUCUUUAUAUCUACCAGAACUGAUAUUGCAGCAAGUGGAACAAUUACCAACCCAAUCUUCAUACUCAAUAUUGGCUCUUGGAAAAACUAAAACUAAAAAAACACAAACUGAAAAACAUGUAAAAUUAUGUCUGCAUAUAGACAAUGUUGUUCUUAGUCUUGUUUCAUAUAUUAAAUCUGUUUUAACAAGAUUCUCAAGCUGCCUGAUGCUGAAUGUGUCUUUGUGUCAUUGCCUGAGGUUGCACUG